CCCGUCCGCUGCCCGGUCUCCUGGGGCCGCCCCUGCCUCCUGCCCGGUCCCUGUCCUGUGCGUCGGGCGCUUCCCAAGGUGCAGAGGGCGCCACUGCAUACCCGAGGUCGCGGCCACCGGCUCCUGGGCCAGGCCCCGUUUCUCGCCUCGAGCCGUCGGGGGAGGGUCUCCAGGGUGCUUGUUUGGGGAAAGCGGAAACAGACUGUCUGGGCCGCUGUUAAAAUGUCAGCAGCCAAGGAAGAAGCAGCGACCUGGCGUCUGCUCGGGCCAGGUGACCUUUAUGGCGGCGCCUUCUGUCCCUGGUCGCUUUUCCACUGAAUGAAUGACCGAAACUGUAGUAACUCAUGGCCAGGGAAUGGCUUAGUUAUCUGAGGGAAUCUUGUCUUGUCUGUGAAAAAGGGAAACUGGUGCAAAUGGGAAUUCAGACAGGUCAGGAGGGGAAGGAAGGGAAGGAUUGAGGUGGGAAAAGAGAGAGAAAGAUGAUUGGCCUCUUAGGGGAAGAACACACUUGGACGUGGCUCCUGGGGCACUUCCUUGAUUCCGCUGUACUCGUCAGCGGGACCGGAGAGGCGGAGGUUCCAGGAGGGAGCCUUCCAGAGUCGGUGCAGGGUUGACAGGAGACGUUUGUUUUGCUUUUCCUGAACUUUCGAUCGCCAGCUUGUUUGGUCUUCUUGAUGUUAUAGGGUUGAUAGAGAGGAGUGGAGUGAUAUCGGACACCCAGCUUCGGCAAGCUCUCUCCAAGGGUGAGUGGGCCAGUGGGACCUGGGUCUCCGGACCAAGAAGCCGCGAGCCUGCCCUGCUCACAGUGGAUAACUUUCUUUCUGAAGUUGAUUUUCCAAGGACAAAGGAAUCAUUAGGGCAAAUUAUUAUUACUGCUUCAUGGUGGAGAUGCUUCUGGUUUAUUCUGUGGCUACCGCUGUUACUGCUUGGAGUGCCUCACCGAGCCAGCUAACAACGGCGUGCGUGAGCACAGGGAAAGGCUUCUUGAGAAAUGAAAACUAGGUUGUAGGUUUAGGAGGGGAAUAGGAAGGUUAGCUCUGUCCAGCCGAAAGCCUUUUGGUAAGUUGGGGGUCCUUGAAUUUCCUGGGUGACUGCAUCUUGGUGACUUCUCUGAAUAGACCUUCGAGGGCACUGGGGGGUGAUUGUUGGAGGGCUUGGGGAGCUCAGGCAGCACUUGUGUGGGAACGUGGCUGUUACAGGAACUGCAGAAACUGGGACUGGGUUCCUGGGGAAAGGAUUGGGGGUGUUGGAGGCGCUGGCAGGGGAGUUAUGGGGAGGCGUUCUUAUCAGUGUGCGAAUAGUGGGCGUUCAGGCAGCGGGAAAUCCGGGUCCUUGCGUGUUGUGAGCUCCCUGGAGUUACGUUCUUGCCAGUUUCAGCUCAAUUGAUCCCCCUCCCCUGAGCUAUCAUUGGAUACAUUUUACUUCAUUGAACACCUGACUGCUGCUUUUUCUGUAAUCCCUCAGGGGCAGUCAUCUUUUCUGAUUCUGAGUAUAGUUUGCCUUUCCAGAUCCGUGCCAUUUAAGCUAGAAAAGGGGUCAGUUUUGAGAUGUGAAAAUGUUGAAAGGCUCCUCGUUAUUAGUGGGAAGUAUCUGAUGUUGCCAGAGACUGAACUGGGGCGCGGGGAGCACUACGGCUGCUAGACACUGCCUCACUGCGCUGUGGGUGGGGGAGGUGCUGGAUUCAGUCUUACUGCCUAAUGAUUUGUGAGGAUUUGUGUUUUCAGAGUAACAUGUUUACCUUAUGUUAUCAGUUCCUAAUAUGUGACGUAUGGGCCACAGAUGCUGGUGUAUUAUUUCACAUGCAUUUAUAUAGAUUGUUUUCAGGGAAUUCAGAAAUUCUGUUAUCUCUACACUAGUGAUUGUGCUUUCUUGAUUUUUCUCUUUUCAUUAUUCUUAAAUCCUCCUUUUUUUUAUUUGCAUCUCAGUUCGUUUAUACUCGGGAAGUGCAAGACAUGGCUACUAGAAAGAGAUGUCAAGAGAACCGGAAUCCAGUAGGCUACAAUUUGGCAAAUCUUAGCUUAAAACUUCCUAAAUGUUGACCACAGUGGAUGCAAAUGGCUCUGUGCAUCGUCUGUUCAAUAUGGUCAGGUGACCACCCAGGUUCACGUGGUUUGUCACCAGGGUGAUACGAGCCACAUGGAGUGCCCUCCUCAGAGGCCAUGUCUCAGAGAUGUGUAUUUUGAGUGGUUUUCCAGCAAGUGAUGCAAGAUUUAUGAUCCAUUUUAAGAGCCUGCUUUUUAUGCAUUUGCUCAAAUUUUUAGAUUUUAAGUUUAGUUUUAGGUUUUCUGUUAAACUUGCUCAACUAGGAGUGGUGGUCAAAUACUGGACCUCAUUAGCAUGGUAGCCUGCACACCUUGGCAGGCUCCACUGGAGUGCUUUGGGGCCUGCCUGGAUUCCAGUCCUGGCUCUACCAGUUUUGUGUCCUCGCCAUUACUGGGAGGGAGAAUUGAGGAAAUGCAUGUGAGGUGCUUCCCGUGAUUCCUGGCACGGAGCAAGUGCUCAGUAAUUGUCAGCUGUGAGUAUUAGUAGUAGCUAAUACACUACUACUAUUCUUGGCUAACAAGCCAGCUCAAAGCUUUGAUGGUUUUCCAUUACCUGAUGAUGGUGAUGAUGGUUUCCACUUCCUGAACACUCACACCCCUGGGCUAGGCACUUAACCCAAAUCCAAGGUCAGCGUUAUUGUUUGGGGGUGGGGGAGACACCUCCUGCUCUGACUCGUGUGUUUGGGUUCCCGUAUUUUCACCAGAGGGUGUUAGUCCUGCCCAAGUUCAGCUGGUCCUCAAAGCGUAUAUAGCUCUUUAACCCUCAGCAAGUGUCAGUCAGAACAUAAUCUUGAUUUCAGCUGCUACUAAAUAUCUACCAGGAGCCUGCUUGAGAGAGAGAAUUGCCUGACAGGUGCUGAGUCCACCAUUCCUGAGAUACUUUGAAAUCAGUGUCUGGCUUAACCCAAGCUGUGUAUGGGGACCCUCUCACCGUGGUCCCAAUGGAGUCGCUUUUGUUAGGCGCCCCCCUUUACCUUGGGCUCUGAGCUUCCUCUGCCUUUCAUCUCUGCAGGAUGAAGCCCCACCCGCCGUACAGGAUGCAAAGCCCUCCUCUAUAAAGUGCAUGCGGGGCCAGAUGCAGUGGCUCACGUCUGACCUCCCAACACCUUGGGAGGCCGAGGCAGGGGGAUCGUUUGAGACCAGCCUGGGCAACAUUGUGAGACCCUGUUCCUUGAAUUGCCCUGGGAGAUUUCCUCAGCUUGUGUUGGAGGCAUGUGGCCCCAUGAAGCCCGUAGUCACCGUUUACCCUGAGAGACGCUGGCUUUGGGGCUGACACACCUGCUGCGGGGCAGCCCCAGGAGAUGGCCACCCUGUUUCUCCUGGAGCUGGAGCUGCGCGUGUUCUCAGCAACUGUGGUGGCUGUCCUGUUUUGUUUGCAUCUUAUAAACCUUUACCUGAUUACAUUUUCCUCUUCAGUUUAGCUGCUAGAGAACUUAAAGUCAGAUUGGUGGCUCGCCAGUAAUGAGAGUUUAGAGUAGAGGUAAACUUUAUGACAUAGUCUUAGACUCUUCCGUUUCUCCUCAGCCAACAUGAUUCACAUUUACUUUAUUUUGCUGUACUGUGAGUGUCUUUGUGUUUCCUGAAUUCCUUCUGGAAUAAGGCAGGCUGGUAGUAAGCACAGGUUUCUGGUCCAUCUCAUAGCCUCAGGCAGUGGGUGGUGCUGUCCAUGCUCCCUUUCUGGGUUACCUGUGGUAGCUCUGAAGUUGCAGGGCUGCGAUUUGAAGCCUGAUUUAGUACACCGUGUUUCUGUCAUGUUCUGUGGUGGUUUGCUCCUGACAUGUGACCAUUCACCCUGUGGCCCUGUGUUUUUCCACCACACCUCUGCCUGGUGGCAUCCUACUGGAUGUCUCAGCCGAGCCACUCUGUUCUGAAGAUGCCCUUGUCCUCCACCCCUUUGCUUUGGGCUCUGAGCUUCUGCCUUUCAUCUCUGUAGGAUGAAGCCCCACCCGCCCUUCAGGAUGCCAGCCUUGGCAACAUUGUGAGACCCUGUUUCUACAAAAAGUAAACGUGUAGUGGUGCACGCCUGUAGUUCCAGCUACUUGGGAGGCUGAGAUGGGAAGAUCACUUCAGCCUGGGAGGUUGAGGCUGCAUUGAGCUGAGAUCAAGCCACGGCACUCCAGCCUGGGAGACAGAGCGAAACCCCAUCUCAAAAAAACAAAGAAAGUGGAUGCGCGCUGCUCCUGCCAUUGGAUCAUCGCAGCAUUUUUCUUUUCUCUGAUAUGCGCCUUUUUCCUCACCGUGGGGGCUCAUGUUUUCGUAGUUUCUUCUCGCUACUAGAUUGUGAGCUGCGUGAAGGAAGGUUCAUAGUUGUGUUGUAUGUACAGGCACACAAAAUUUGUCCUUGGAUAGACACAUAUCAGUCCGCUUCCUUCUCCUCUCUGAAUUUCUUUAUUUAAAAAAAAGAAUUAGAGAUGGAGUCUCACUGUCUUGCCCAGGCUGGUCUCAAACUCCUAGGCUCAAGCGAUCCUCCCGCCUCUACUAAUAUGAAUUAUUAGCCUAUACUAAUAUGAAUUCCUAUACUAAUAUGAUUGAAAUUAGUUUGACUUGUAUAAUAAUUGUUCUCCCAGAUUGGGCUUCUGUUUUGAUAGUAGAACUAAAUUAUUAGGCUAUUUCAAGAAAUUAAUAUAUUACUGGUAGAAAAACUGAAGCUACAAAAUGGCCUGGUUUCUCACUUCAGUUAAAUUUGUGCUUCUGAGUGCUUGUAUUGUAGGUGAAACCGCACUGAGAAGGUAUUUGUGGCCCGUACGCUGGUUCAUUGAUGAGACUUCUUUGCACAGGAGAGCCGCUAAAAAUUACUGUGGUGAACAGACGGAGGCCCAUUGAGGCUUCUCUGUCCUCCACGGGGACCAGCAUUGGGCUAAACCUGCAGACACCAUUGCAAAGGGAAUUCAGGCAAACCCGGUGGUGAAGAAUGAUUCCAGCGCGAGGACAGAGGCUGACAUUUCUUGCCUGGGCUCAUCAAUGCACCGUGUGGCCAAACAGAACAGAAGCUUGUUUUUCAUUCACGCUACCUCCUCCUCUCAGAGCUGGCAGGAGUUCUUGUCCACAUUGUUAAGCGGGGUCAUUGAUGACUGAACUUCCCACAUUUUGUGACAGCAGCAUCUAGAAUAUGCAGCACUCUCCAUCAUCAUGAGAGAAAAAGAGAUUGGAGAAUCACCCAGAGCUCUUUAUUGCCUCAGCCAAAUAAGUGACACAUGUCAUGUCUCACGAUUCAUUGGCCAGAACUAGUCCCGUGGCCCUGUCUGACUGCAAGGGAGCUGGACAACGUGAAGGAGCAGGUGGAAUAUUGGAUAUUUAAAUACCACUGCUUUAGUACAGUGGUUAAGAGUAAAGUAUUUGAAGUUAUAAGGAGGUUGGUUCAAAAAAUAAUGACUUUGCAGACAGGCGCGGUGGCUCACGCCUGUAAUCCCAGCACUUUGGGAGGCUGAGGCAGGCAGAUCCCUUGAGGCCAGGAGUUCAAGACCAGCCUGGCCAACAUGGUGAAACCCCAUCUCUACUAUAAAAACCAAAAAAAAUUAAUCGGUUGUGGUGGCACAUGCCUAUAGUCCCAGCUACUCGGGAGGCUGAGUCAGGAGAAUCGUUUGAACCUGGGAGGCAGAGGUUGCAGUGAGCUGAGAUGGCGCCACUACACUCCAGCCUGAGUGACAGAGUGAGAUUCUGUCAAAAUAAAAAAAAAAGACUUUGCCAUCAACUCGUGGUGUGUCCUUGGGCAACUUACUUAGGUUCUCAUGGUUUCUUCUGUCUUUUUUGAGACAGGGUCUCACUCUGUCACCCAGGAGGAGUGCAGUGGCACGAUCACAACUCACUGCAGCCUCCACCUCCCAGGCUCAAGCAAUCCUCCUACCUCAGCCUCCUGAGAGCUAGGACUACAGGAAUGCACCUCCACACCUGGCUAAUUUUCUUUUUUAUAGAGACGUGGUCUCACUAUGUCUCCCAGGCUAACUAGUCUCAAACUUCUGAACUCAAGCAAUCCUCCGCCUUGGCCUCCCGAAGUGUUAGGAUUACAGGCAUGAACCACUACACCCAGCCAGUUUCUUCUUUUAUAAAAUAAACAAUUUAAGCUUCCUAGAAACAGCUCCUAUAGGCCAGGCAUGGUGGCUCACACCUGUAAUCCCAGCACUUUGGGAGGCUGAGGCAAGUGGAUCACUUGAGGCUGGGAGUUCGAGACCAACCUGGCCAACAUGGUGAAACUCCGUCUCUACUAAAAAAAAAUACAAAAAUUAGCCGGGUGUGGUGAUGCGCCUGUAGUCUCAGCUACUCAGGAGGCUGAGGGAGGGGAAUUGCUUGAACUUGGGGAGGUUGCAGCGAGCCAAGGUCGCACCAGUGCACUCCAGCCUGGGCGACAGAGCGAGACUCCAUCUCAAAACUUUUUUUAAAAAAGCAGCAGCUACCAUAUCUGACUUGCUCACUCCUGGAUUUCCAGCCAGCCCAAUACUGAGCGCAUAGAAGAAAGUCAAUAUGUAUUGAAUGAGAAGUAUCUACUUCAAAAAACUGUUUCAAGGAUUAAUUGAAAUAAUGCAGGUAAAAAGCAUUAUUAUAAUGCCUGAUAUAUAUAACAUUUUCAAAUUAUAACUAUUAUUUUUACUUGCUCUUUUUUACCUUUUUUUCAACAGCUUUAUUGAGAUAUGCUUUAUGUAUCAUGAAGUUUAUCUCUUUUUUUAUUAUUAUACUUUAAGUAUUAGGGUACACGUGCACAACGUGCAGGUUUGUUACAUAUGUAUACAUGUGCCAUGUUGGUGUGCUGCACCCAUUAACUCGUCAUUUAGCAUUAGGUUUUUACUUGCUAUUCCUCCAAUGCCUAGGAUUGUCCUGUAUCUUUGAUUUUAUGUACCUUCCUACACCUGGAAGGAAGGAAAUUGACAGUUAUUCAUCAUUUUAUACUAUGGCCACUACUAGGACUGCCUACUUUUACCCUACUGCAUUAAGAAAAAAAUUAAAGUAUAUUUUACAUACAACAAAAUGAACAGUUUUUUUUUUUUUAAAGUUCUGGGAUACAUGUGCAGAACACGCAGGUUUUGUUACACAGGCAAACAUGUGCCAUGGCGGUUUGCUGCACCCAUCCGCCCGUCUCCUAGGUGUUAAGCCCUGCAUGCCUUAGCUAUUUGUCCCGAUGCUCUCCCCCGCUUCGCCCCCUCGCCCCGCAACAGAUCUUAAAUGUAAACUUUAUGAAUUUUGAAAAAUGUAAGAGUAACUGUCACUCCAAUCAAGGUAUUAGAGCUUUAUCGCAGUAGUUUCUGUUCUGUAUUUUUCUGUUGGGUUCUUGAAUUCCUUGAUCAGAGCCGUGUUCCUGGGUGACGGAAGUGCUCCUCUGUUAUGUGUGGCAAGUGCUUCUGGGUGUGGAUGCGGCGUUUUGCAUACACUUUGUAGAAGGAAGGAUUUGUUAAGUGUCUGGGCACAUAAUUAAUAUGCAGAAUGCUUCCAGUAAGGUGGAGGGCUGAAAGGCGAGCUCCCUUCCAACUCGGGAAAUUGACCGGGAUGAGGAGGUGGGUGGCGCCCGGCAGGGGAGCAGCAUCAGAACCAAUCACAGGAGCAGGUCCAACUUGAUGCUGGAAGCUUUCCAGAGUGGCCUUCAAGGAAAGGAACAGAAAAUUCUGGAGACCAAUGCAGUGUAGCAAAGAGGUUGUGCCGUUACGCCCAUGAAAGGCAAAAUGAUGAGUCAUCAAAACGCUGAGCGUUCCUAUUGGAGAAGGGCAACCUUUUCUGCCUUCUAGGAAACUAACGAGAAACAGGA
rnacentral:lncRNA from 1 species